UGUGAUGUGAUGUGAUGUUAAUGUUAUUUGAUUUUGUGAAUAUUGUGAUUGUGAAAGCAAGCAUAAUAAAAAACAAAACUAACUAAACAAGUAAACAACGAAAACUGUAACAAAAUCAAAAUGUAGGAAGUUUAUUUUAUAUUGAUGAUAAACGUUGAACCUACUUAAUUACAUAACUCUUAAAUCCCGCGAAUGCAAGUAUUUGAUGGAUCUGAAUUAUUCAUAGUCAGGACAUAUUUUUCAGUGCUUGUGUGACAUUUUGUGCUCCAGAACAUAACCUAGCCUGGCCCUAGGUUAUGUCUUGAGGUAUCAUCCAUAGGUAGGCCUACUUCAUUUUUCAUCAUUUAUAUUUGUAUUUGCUAUUGAAGCUACCAAACAUAGCAAAAUGACGGCACCGCCAGCAGCUUUAGUCAAUAGGAAUAAAAAACAUUUCUUGGGGGUACCAGCUCCUUUAGGAUAUGUGGCUGGUGUAGGUCGAGGAGCUACAGGUUUCACAACCAGAUCGGAUAUUGGUCCUGCUAGAGACGCAAACGAUGUCUCAGAUGACCGUCAUGCCCCUCCCAGUAAGCGGAAAAAGAAAGAAGAAGAGGAAGAUGACGAUGAAGACUUAAAUGACUCAAACUAUGAUGAGUUUUCGGGUUAUGGCGGUUCAUUAUUCAGUAAAGAUCCAUAUGAUAAAGAUGAUGAAGAAGCUGACAUGAUUUAUGAAGAGAUUGAUAAAAGAAUGGACGAAAAGAGGAAAGAAUACAGGGAGAAGAGAUUGAAAGAGGAACUUGAAAGGUAUCGCCAAGAGAGACCAAAGAUUCAACAACAGUUCAGUGACCUCAAGCGUGGACUUGUGACUGUAACCGAAGACGAAUGGCGCAAUGUCCCUGAAGUAGGGGAUGCUAGAAAUAGAAAAAUUCGUAACCCUAGAGCGGAAAAGUUUACACCUUUGCCUGACUCAGUUUUAUCUCGUAGCUUAGGUGGUGAAACAACUAAUUCAAUAGAUCCAAGUAGUGGUCUAAUGAGUGCCAUUCCUCAUGGAAAUAUAACACCUGUUGGUGUUGGUAUGCUAACACCAACUGGUGAUUUAGAUCUCAGAAAAAUGGGCCAAGCUCGCAAUACACUGAUGAAUGUUAAAUUGAAUCAAGUUUCAGAUUCAGUUGAGGGUCAAACUGUUGUUGAUCCUAAAGGCUAUCUUACUGAUCUACAAAGCAUGAUUCCAACAUAUGGUGGUGACAUAAAUGAUAUCAAAAAAGCUCGUCUUCUUUUGAAAUCUGUCAGAGAAACUAAUCCUAAUCAUCCGCCAGCCUGGAUAGCUUCAGCCCGUUUAGAAGAGGUCACAGGCAAAGUUCAGGCAGCUCGUAAUUUGAUCAUGAAAGGUUGUGAAGACAAUCCAAAAUCUGAGGAUUUGUGGCUUGAAGCAGCUCGUUUGCAGCCUCCUGACACUGCUCGUGGGGUUAUCGCUCAAGCUGUUCGCCAUAUUCCUACUUCUGUUAGAAUUUGGAUUAAAGCUGCUGAUUUGGAAACCGAAAUGAAAGCUAAAAGGAAAGUUUAUAGGAAAGCUCUUGAACACAUUCCUAACUCUGUUAGGCUGUGGAAAGCAGCAGUCGAACUAGAAGAUCCCGAAGAUGCGCGGAUUUUGUUGAGCAGAGCUGUAGAAUGUUGUCCUACAAGUGUUGAUUUGUGGUUGGCACUAGCUCGACUGGAAACCUAUGAAAAUGCAAGGAAAGUACUAAAUAAAGCUCGUGAAAACAUUCCAACUGACCGACAGAUUUGGACAACAGCUGCGAAACUUGAAGAAGCAAAUGGUAAUAACCACAUGGUAGAAAAAAUUAUAGAGAGAGCAAUCACUUCCUUGAGUGCAAACGGUGUUGAAAUCAACAGAGAGCACUGGUUCAAAGAAGCUGUUGAAGCUGAAAAAUCUGGCUCUGUCAUUUGUUGCCAAGCCAUAAUAAAGGCUAUAAUUGGACAAGGAGUGGAAGAAGAAGACAGGAAGCAUACAUGGAUGGAAGAUGCUGAUUCGUGUGCUGCACAAGGUGCUUACGAAUGUGCUAGAGCAGUUUACGCUCAUGCUCUCUCUAUGUUUCCUAGCAAGAAGUCAAUCUGGCUUAGAGCAGCCUACUUUGAAAAGAACCAUGGAUCCAGAGAGUCACUUGAAGCGUUGCUACAAAGAGCUGUCGCACAUUGUCCUAAGUCAGAAGUGUUGUGGCUAAUGGGUGCCAAAUCAAAAUGGAUGGCUGGAGAUGUACCUGCUGCCCGAGGUAUUUUAUCACUUGCUUUUCAAGCAAAUCCGAAUUCUGAGGAAAUUUGGUUGGCUGCAGUGAAACUGGAGUCAGAAAACUCAGAGUAUGAAAGGGCAAGGAGAUUGCUUGCGAAGGCCCGUGCUUCUGCUCCAACACCUCGUGUUAUGAUGAAAUCAGCCAAACUAGAGUGGUGUCUUGAAAAUCUCGACCUAGCCCUCCACCUGCUCGACGAAGCGAUUAAAGUGUUUCCAAACUAUGCAAAGUUGUGGAUGAUGAAAGGUCAAAUUGAGGAACAACAAGAAAAACCGGAUAAAGCUUGGGACACUUACAACUCGGCACUGAAGAAAUGUCCUCACGCAGUUCCAUUGUGGUUGAUGCUUUGCAGUUUGGAGGAGAGACGAGGACAUUUAACCAAAGCAAGAUCUGUGCUAGAAAAAGGACGCUUGAAAAAUGCAAACAAUCCACAACUUUGGUUGGAAGCCAUACGAGUUGAGUUCCGUGGCAAUAUGAGAGAUAUUGCGAACACUCUAAUGGCUAAGGCACUGCAAGAGUGCCCUAACUCUGGAAUACUUUGGGCAGAAGCUAUCUUCAUGGAACCAAGGCCUCAAAGAAAGACAAAGAGUGUUGACGCUUUGAAACGUUGCGAACACGACCCUCAUGUAUUGUUAGCUGUAUCAAAACUCUUCUGGUGCGAAAGAAAACUCCAAAAGUGUCGAGAGUGGUUUAACAGAACUGUUAAAAUCGAACCGGACCUUGGAGACGCUUGGGCCUACUUCUACAAGUUUGAACUGCUCAAUGGAACAGAAGAGCAACAAGAAGAUGUGAAGAAGAGAUGUGUCACGGCUGAACCUCAUCAUGGAGAACAAUGGUGCAAAGUAUCAAAGAACAUAAAGAAUUGGCGCCUCACAACCGAAGCUGUUCUUGUUCUGGUCGCAAAGGAUCUACCCAUCCCAAUUUAAGAUUGCCAACAUACCGGUAAAGCAUCGAAUAGGCUCGACUAAAACAUGGUUGAUAGGCCUACACUACAGAAGCUAUGCUUUUACUAUGACUGGAUGCUUCAAACCUGCCUCGUGUAAAUACUGUUCUUGAAUCAAAUUAAUGUUUCAAUGUGUGUGUUUAGGGUUACACAAUAAUGUUGUAUUUUAAUUUUGAAUAUAUUAAAAGAACGACAAACAUUUGAAAUAUAGACUUUAAAUGUUUAAAUAUUAUAGAUGAUUAGGCUAUGUUUUUCAUUUCAAGAUGUUUUAUUUUGCACAUUGAUGAUUAUUUUGCCGCGUUUACACAAAGCCAGUUGCCGGGCAGGUGACUUGAAGUAACUUAAACUACAUUAGAGACACCUGCCUGCUCUACUGGCCUCGUGUUAACACAGCUUAGAGACAACAUGUUCUCUGUAGGUUAGAUUGUUAUUUUAACAUGUAUAAUUGAUAUUCUCUGUUUAAUAUAAAACUACUGUUUAUUUUGUCUAUUGUCCUCAGCAAGUUCAAUUAUUUUUUGUAUGUAGCUGUAAAUAAAAAAAUAGCAUUAAUAUUAAAACUGCUGUGUUCUAUUUAUGUUUUCUUUCUGUCAAUAAACUUUAAAGUAGCA